CCUUUAGAGAUAGAGGCGUGCUCGAAAGAGAGCCGUAACACAGGUGCUGCAUGGCUGUCGUCAGCUCGUGUCGUGAGAUGUUGGGUUAAGUCCCGCAACGAGCGCAACCCUUGUCAUUAGUUGCUACAUUCAGUUGGGCACUCUAAUGAGACUGCCGGUGACAAGCCGGAGGAAGGUGGGGAUGACGUCAAGUCCUCAUGGCCCUUAUAGGUGGGGCUACACACGUCAUACAAUGGCUGGUACAAAGGGUUGCCAACCCGCGAGGGGGAGCUAAUCCCAUAAAGCCAGUCGUAGUCCGGAUCGUAGUCUGCAACUCGACUACGUGAAGUCGGAAUCGCUAGUAAUCGUGGAUCAGAAUGUCACGGUGAAUACGUUCCCGGGUCUU
rnacentral:rRNA from 1 species